AAGCUUCAUUUAUCGUCAUGCUCCCCAAUAAUUUAUACAAAUUUCCAACUUGGAUACCCUUUAUAGCAACCAUUGUACCUUUAGAAACUCUAAAAACACCUUGCCCGAUGAAUUUGUAGCUUUUCUUGUCUAAUUCGGAAAGAGAAAGUAAGCUUUUCCUCAAAUUUGAAACAUGGCAUACAUUUUUGAGUACCCAAACCAUUCCAUCAA
rnacentral:lncRNA from 1 species